rnacentral:lncRNA from 1 species
GUCUACAAAGCCUAUCUUAUUCAAAAGAGAUAUCAACUUAUAUCUACCUAACAUAUGUAGUAUAAACGAACGAGAAUUCUCGUGUCUCAGAUUAUGGUGCACGUCACCUCCGAGGGUGAUUUAUUACUGGAGGGGGUUUCAAAGUUUUAUGACCAUCUAUUUUUAAACACCUGUAAGUAUUCGGCCAUGGGCAUUCUCACUAUCGACAGAUCAAGUACAUGCACGAUACUGAGCGCGGCUAUAGCAAUAGUGGUUUUGAUGGUGUAAACUCAAAACUGACUAUUUUUAACCAUACAAAAGAUUGUCGCGUGCAAAUCAAUAAGUUUUACUCAAGACUGGCGUGUCUUCAUUGACAUUUUAUACACCGAGAACAGAAUCGACUACAGCACCAGCACGAGUUCAAAAGAGAAAAUGAAAUAAGAGCCUUUCUAUGUACUAGAUAUUAUGUAGUAUAAAUAGGUAGAUACUUAAUUUUUAAGCACACCAACAUAUAAUGACAACUGACGC